AGCGGGUGCUCUCACUUUGUGGGUCCUUAUGUAACUGCGUGGUGUUAUUCAGGAUCGCCCUUUCUACACUGUGUGACGGUGCUGCGGUGUCUCCUAGUUAUUUGUUUCUGAUCUGAGAAGCAGGAGCAAGGAACUCAUGGAGAGAUCCAGGAAGAUAUCUGACUGUGUUAAGAGACGACAGUCACAGUGACACGUGGAGCGAAGACACUUGCAGUAAAGUAAAAUAACUUCACAACUAUUGCAUCAGAGCUGCAAGUGUGAGAGAACCUAAGCCUGUCUCAGAGUGCAGGGGACAAGAGAAAAGGAAUGUGUAAGAAUGCCGGUGACUCAGUUAGAAGCAUGCAUCCAAGCCGUCCUUCCGUGUCAUCACCAUCUAGAAGCGGUGCCUGAAUCUUCUGAAUUUCUGCAGAAUGUGGUUUACAAUCACCUUGAACAA